UAGCCGUAAACGAUACUCGCUAGGUGUCGGCCACGGUGCGACCGUUGUCGGUGCCGUAGGGAAGCCGUGAAGCGAGCCACCUGGGAAGUACGGCCGCAAGGCUGAAACUUAAAGGAAUUGGCCGGGGGAGCACCACAACGGGUGGAGCUUGCGGUUUAAUUGGAUUCAACGCCGGAAAUCUUACCGGGACCGACAGCAACAUGAAGGCCAGGCUGAAGACUUUGCCGGAUUAGCUGAGAGGAGGUGCAUGGCGUAGUCGUGU
rnacentral:rRNA from 1 species